CUCGCCUAGACCCGAGAGGGACGUGCGGUGCACAGCACGAUUCCGUGCGGACAGCUCAUGAACAAAGAUGAGAAACUGGUGGUGUUCACCACUCCGUAUGAAGACUCUGAAAGGUGUGAAAGCCUGGAGCUGGACAGCCAGAUCCGGGCUCUGAUUGAGAGAAAUGCUUCUGGUGCAAAGUGGGUCACCACGGAGGCCGGGCCGAGUAGCAGAAGUUCCUGUUCUGCAAAGGUAAGAGAGAGAAUGCCUUCCUUCCGCUGCGUCUCAAUGUGCCCUUCCAUAGUUUACUCACCGAGAAGAAUCUGUGGGGACAGUCCCCAAAUCAUUUACAGUCAGUCUCGUACUUCCUUGUCGCCCGAAGUGGAGCCCUAUAAACCUUCUCGCACCCAGUCACUUCCUGUCACUAAAGAGCUCCUUCACCACACGGCACCUUCCAGCUGAAAGUGCUCCGGCAGCUGUGACCACAAGAGAACGAGGAAGAGAUCACGCUAUUAGAAAGAAUGUUGAACACAGUGACAACUCUUUCCUCGGGAGGAAGUAACCCAGUUUGAGUAAACCCAU